rnacentral:rRNA from 1 species
UACGUAGGGGGCAAGCGUUGUCCGGAAUCAUUGGGCGUAAAGAGCGUGUAGGCGGUUCGGUAAGUCGGCUGUGAAAGUCCAGGGCUCAACCCUGGGAUGCCGGUCGAUACUGCCGGACUAGAGUUCGGAAGAGGCGAGUGGAAUUCCUGGUGUAGCGGUGAAAUGCGCAGAUAUCAGGAAGAACACCAAUGGCGAAAGCAGCUCUCUGGGAAGGUACUGACGCUGAGACGCGAAAGCGUGGGGAGCAAACAGG